rnacentral:lncRNA from 1 species
CAGAUUUCCCUGGAGCAGGUCACCCUCUGACCUUUCAAGGUUGAGAACACAGGCCUCAGUGCACACUGGGCUGAGCACCCACUGGUGGAAAUCCGGAGGGAGCUCUCCUGUGCUUGAUGGAUGAGGUCAGAGGCCUGGAAGGAGAAAGGCAAGGACCAUGAGAACGAAAUCGCCUGCAGCUGGCAUCUGCUGACAGCUUCCUCUCAUCAAGCUCUAGAUGACCGUACACUUUUUUAAAAUGCAAGUGGAAGAGGAGACUGGGAGGGUUGUUUUGGUUUUACAGGCUCGUCUCUCUUCUCACUGACAGGAGAACUGAGAGAAUCUGAUUAUCAGCCAACCAAACUCUUAGUUAUCUGAGCCUCCCUCCUAGAGAAGGAAGUGUGUGUGUGUGUGUGUGUGUGUUGUCCUGGGGGAAGGCCUGGGUCAGCCAUUGUGACAGGGGGGAUUCUGGGGGCUUAGGGUAGCAGCUCUAUGUUAUCGCAUUCAGUAGAAUUAUGUUUAUGUAUUUUCACAAUAGGUACAGGCAAGUGGAC